rnacentral:rRNA from 1 species
UACGUAGGGUGCGAGCGUUGCCCGGAUUUAUUGGGCGUAAAGGGCGCGUAGGCGGCUCUGCACGUCCGUUGUGAAAUCGCCCGGCUCAACUGGGCGGGGUCAGCGGAUACGGCGGAGCUUGAGCAAGCUAGGGGGCAAUGGAAUUCCCGGUGUAGUGGUGGAAUGCGUAGAUAUCGGGAGGAACACCAGUGGCGAAGGCGGCUCACUGGCCCGGUACUGACGCUGAGGUGCGAAAGCGUGGGGAGCAAACAGG